UUAACACAACAGAUGAAGAACAACCCUGGACAAGAGCCGAGUUGCAGAUUGAUGAGAUGAUGAUGAUGAUGAUGACGAUGAAUUGGAGUUUAUGUAAAGGAAGCAUGUCCUUUUGAGGGGAAUGUUGUCUGGCACGAGGCCACCAAUCUUGGUUCCUUCCAAAUUUCAAUCCAUACCGAUCUUUGAUCAGAAUUUACGUUCUACGUACAGACGCUCAGGGACUGUGUAUGUUAGUGUCCUCGGACCAGGCUUCAUUCCCCUCAAUUCACUGCUUCCAUCUAAUUUGCCAACACAGCAGUGUUCUUGAUUAUUUUCGCCAAUAUUGGUAUUCCGAUCUACUGCGUGUGGCGGAUCCAUCGAUCUCCAGGUGUGCAAUGUGCAAUGUGCAAUGUGCGAGACAAAGGAAAGAACAAAAAAAAAAAAAA